GAAUGAAAGAAGCAUGAUAAUGUGCACAAAAAUUAAUUUGGGUCUCUAGACCCGCUCUCUCUGAUGCCUUCUAGCUUUGAUUGGGGGCAUGAUUUCACAGCAAAACA